AACGUAGGUGGCGAGCGUUAUCCGGAUUUACUGGGCGUAAAGGGUGUGCAGGCGGGUGAACAAGUGGGGUAUGAAAGGUUUCGGCUCAACCGAGAUAGGUUAUGCCAGACUGUUUACCUAGAGUGUGAGAGAGGGACGUGGAAUUCCGGGUGUAGUGGUGGAAUGCGUAGAUAUCCGGAAGAACACCGGUGGCGAAGGCGGUGGUCUGGACCAAAACUGACGCUGAGGAGCGAAAGCCAGGGGAGCAAACGGG
rnacentral:rRNA from 1 species